rnacentral:rRNA from 1 species
UAAGACGAACCGUGCGAACGUUGUUCGGAAUCACUGGGCUUAAAGGGCGCGUAGGCGGCUUGCCAAGUCGGUGGUGAAAUCCUGCAGCUUAACUGUAGAAGUGCCUCCGAUACUGGCAGGCUCGAGGGAGGUAGGGGUCUGUGGAACUUCUGGUGGAGCGGUGAAAUGCGUUGAUAUCAGAAGGAACGCCGGUGGCGAAAGCGACGGACUGGACCUCUUCUGACGCUGAGGCGCGAAAGCUAGGGGAGCAAACGGGAUUAGAUACCCCGGUAGUCCUAGCCCUAAACGAUGGGCACUAGGUUGUGGACUAACAUGGGUUCACAGCCGAAGCAAAAGUGUUAAGUGCCCCGCCUGGGGAGUAUGGUCGCAAGGCUG